rnacentral:rRNA from 1 species
AGUGAUGAAGGCCUUAGGGGUUGUAAAGCUCUUUCACACGCGACGAUGAUGACGGUAGCGUGAGAAGAAAGCCCCCGGCUAACUUCGUGC